rnacentral:rRNA from 1 species
AUUGAACGCUGGCGGCAGGCUUAACACAUGCAAGUCGAGCGGGGGGAGGUAGCUUGCUACCGGACCUAGCGGCGGACGGGCGAGUAAUGCUUAGGAAUCUGCCUAUUAGUGGGGGACAACAUCUCGAAAGGGAUGCUAAUACCGCAUACGUCCUACGGGAGAAAGCAGGGGAUCUUCGGACCUUGCGCUAAUAGAUGAGCCUAAGUCGGAUUAGCUAGUUGGUGGGGUAAAGGCCUACCAAGGCGACGAUCUGUAGCGGGUCUGAGAGGAUGAUCGGCCACACUGGGACUGAGACACGGCCCAGACUCCUACGGGAGGCAGCAGUGGGGAAUAUUGGACAAUGGGGGGAACCCUGAUCCAGCCAUGCCGCGUGUGUGAAGAAGGCCUUAUGGUUGUAAAGCACUUUAAGCGAGGAGGAGGCUACUUUAGUUAAUACCUAGAGAUAGUGGACGUUACUCGCAGAAUAAGCACCGGCUAACUCUGUGCCAGCAGCCGCCGUAA